CCUACGGGAGGCAGCAGUGGGGAAUCUUGCGCAAUGGGCGAAAGCCUGACGCAGCCAUGCCGCGUGAAUGAUGAAGGUCUUAGGAUUGUAAAAUUCUUUCACCGGGGACGAUAAUGACGGUACCCGGAGAAGAAGCCCCGGCUAACUUCGUGCCAGCAGCCGCGGUAAUACGAAGGGGGCUAGCGUUGCUCGGAAUUACUGGGCGUAAAGGGAGCGUAGGCGGAUAGUUUAGUCAGAGGUGAAAGCCCAGGGCUCAACCUUGGAAUUGCCUUUGAUACUGGCUAUCUUGAGUGUGGGAGAGGUAUGUGGAACUCCGAGUGUAGAGGUGAAAUUCGUAGAUAUUCGGAAGAACACCAGUGGCGAAGGCGACAUACUGGCCCAUUACUGACGCUGAGGCUCGAAAGCGUGGGGAGCAAACAGGAUUAGAUACCCUGGUAGUCCACGCUGUAAACGAUGAGUGCUAGUUGUCGGCAGGCAUGCCUGUCGGUGACGCAGCUAACGCAUUAAGCACUCCGCCUGGGGAGUACGGUCGCAAGNUUAAAACUCAAAUGAAUUGACGG
rnacentral:rRNA from 1 species